UACGUAGGUGGCAAGCGUUGUCCGGAAUUAUUGGGCGUAAAGCGCGCGCAGGUGGUUUCUUAAGUCUGAUGUGAAAGCCCACGGCUCAACCGUGGAGGGUCAUUGGAAACUGGGGAACUUGAGUGCAGAAGAGGAUAGUGGAAUUCCAAGUGUAGCGGUGAAAUGCGUAGAGAUUUGGAGGAACACCAGUGGCGAAGGCGACUUUCUGGUCUGUAACUGACACUGAGGCGCGAAAGCGUGGGGAGCGAACAGG
rnacentral:rRNA from 1 species